UGAUCUUAGCGGCGGACGGGUGAGUAACACGUGGGCAACCUGCCCUGCAGACUGGGAUAACUCCGGGAAACCGGAGCUAAUACCGGGUAAUACAUCGCACCGCAUGGUGCAAUGUUGAAAGUUGGCUUUCUGAGCUAACACUGCAGGAUGGGCCCGCGGCGCAUUAGCUAGUUGGUAAGGUAAUGGCUUACCAAGGCGACGAUGCGUAGCCGACCUGAGAGGGUGAUCGGCCACACUGGGACUGAGACACGGCCCAGACUCCUACGGGAGGCAGCAGUAGGGAAUCUUCCGCAAUGGACGAAAGUCUGACGGAGCAACGCCGCGUGAGUGACGAAGGCCUUCGGGUCGUAAAGCUCUGUUGUUAGGGAAGAACAAGUACCGUUCGAAUAGGGCGGUACCUUGACGGUACCUAACCAGAAAGCCACGGCUAACUACGUGCCAGCAGCCGCGGUAAUACGUAGGUGGCAAGCGUUGUCCGGAAUUAUUGGGCGUAAAGCGCGCGCAGGCGGUCUUUUAAGUCUGAUGUGAAAGCCCACGGCUCAACCGUGGAGGGUCAUUGGAAACUGGAGGACUUGAGUGCAGAAGAGGAGAGUGGAAUUCCACGUGUAGCGGUGAAAUGCGUAGAUAUGUGGAGGAACACCAGUGGCGAAGGCGGCUCUCUGGUCUGUAACUGACGCUGAGGCGCGAAAGCGUG
rnacentral:rRNA from 1 species